AAAUUGAAGAGUUUGAUCAUGGCUCAGAUUGAACGCUGGCGGCAGGCCUAACACAUGCAAGUCGAGCGGAAACGAGUUAUCUGAACCUUCGGGGAACGAUAACGGCGUCGAGCGGCGGACGGGUGAGUAAUGCCUAGGAAAUUGCCCUGAUGUGGGGGAUAACCAUUGGAAACGAUGGCUAAUACAUAAUGCCUACGGGCCAAAGAGGGGGACCUUCGGGCCUCUCGCGUCAGGAU
rnacentral:rRNA from 1 species